rnacentral:rRNA from 1 species
UACGAAGGGGGCUAGCGUUGUUCGGAAUUACUGGGCGUAAAGCGCGCGCAGGCGGUUCUUUAAGUCAGGGGUGAAAGCCCGGAGCUCAGCUCUGGAAUUGCCUUUGAAACUAGAGAACUUGGGUACGGGAGAGGUGAGUGGAAUUCCGAGUGUAGAGGUGAAAUUCGUAGAUAUUCGGAAGAACACCAGUGGCGAAGGCGGCUCACUGGCCCGUUACCGACGCUCAGGCGCGACAGCGUGGGGAGCAAACAGG